rnacentral:rRNA from 1 species
UGGGGAAUUUUGGACAAUGGGGGAAACCCUGAUCCAGCCAUCCCGCGUGUGCGAUGAAGGCCUUCGGGUUGUAAAGCACUUUUGGCAGGAAAGAAACGUCGCGGGUUAAUACCCCGCGAAACUGACGGUACCUGCAGAAUAAGCACCGGCUAACUACGUGCCAGCAGCCGCGGUAAUACGUAGGGUGCAAGCGUUAAUCGGAAUUACUGGGCGUAAAGCGUGCGCAGGCGGUUCGGAAAGAAAGAUGUGAAAUCCCAGAGCUUAACUUUGGAACUGCAUUUUUAACUACCGGGCUAGAGUGUGUCAGAGGGAGGUGGAAUUCCGCGUGUAGCAGUGAAAUGCGUAGAUAUGCGGAGGAACACCGAUGGCGAAGGCAGCCUCCUGGGAUAACACUGACGCUCGUGCACGAAAGCGUGGGGAGCAAACAGGAUUAGAUACCCUGGUAGUCCACGCCCUAAACGAUGUCAACUAGCUGUUGGGGGCCUUCGGGCCUUGGUAGCGCAGCUAACGCGUGAAGUUGACCGCCUGGGGAGUACGGUCGCAAGAUUAAAACUCAAAUGAAUUGACGGGGGUCG